rnacentral:rRNA from 1 species
ACAUGCAGUCGAGCGAACUUUAAAAGCUUGCUUUUAAAGUUAGCGGCGGACGGGUGAGUAACACGUGGGCAACCUGCCUGUAAGACUGGGAUAACUUCGGGAAACCGGAGCUAAUACCGGAUAAUCCUUUUCCUCUCAUGAGGAAAAGCUGAAAGACGGCAUCUCGCUGUCACUUACAGAUGGGCCCGCGGCGCAUUAGCUAGUUGGUGAGGUAACGGCUCACCAAGGCAACGAUGCGUAGCCGACCUGAGAGGGUGAUCGGCCACACUGGGACUGAGACAUGGCCCAGACUCCUACGGGAGGCAGCGGUAGGGAAUCUUCCGCAAUGGACGAAAGUCUGACGGAGCAACGCCGCGUGAGUGAUGAAGGUUUUCGGAUCGUAAAGCUCUGUUGUUAGGGAAGAACAAGUACAAGAGUAACUGCUUGUACCUUGACGGUACCUAACCAGAAAGCCACGGCUAACUACGUGCCAGCAGCCGCGGUAAUACGUAGGUGGCAAGCGUUGUCCGGAAUUAUUGGGCGUAAAGCGCGCGCAGGCGGUCCUUUAAGUCUGAUGUGAAAGCCCACGGCUCAACCGUGGAGGGUCAUUGGAAACUGGGGGACUUGAGUGCAGAAGAGAAGAGUGGAAUUCCACGUGUAGCGGUGAAAUGCGUAGAGAUGUGGAGGAACACCAGUGGCGAAGGCGACUCUUUUGGUCUGUAACUGACGCUGAGGCGCGAAAGCGUGGGGAGCAAACAGGAUU